rnacentral:rRNA from 1 species
UACGGGGGGGGCAAGCGUUGUUCGGAAUCACUGGGCGUAAAGGGCGCGUAGGCGGCCUGGUAAGUAGGGGGUGAAAUCCUGCGGCUUAACCGCAGGGCUGCCUUCUAAACUGUCAGGCUUGAGCACAGUAGAGGCAGGUGGAAUUCCCGGUGUAGCGGUGGAAUGCGUAGAGAUCGGGAAGAACAUCAGUGGCGAAGGCGGCCUGCUGGGCUGUUGCUGACGCUGAGGCGCGACAGCGUGGGGAGCAAACAGG